GACAGGGGGCUCGAGCGUUAAUCGGAAUCACUGGGCUUAAAGGGUGCGUAGGCGGGCCAGUAAGCGCUUUGUGAAAUCCCCCGGCUCAACCGGGGAACCGCGGGGCGAACUGCUGGUCUUGAGGAAGCUAGAGGCGGGUAGAACGAUAGGUGGAGCGGUGGAAUGCGUAGAUAUCUAUCGGAAUGCCGAAAGUGAAGACAGCCCGCUGGGGCUUUCCUGACGCUGAGGCACGAAAGCGUGGGGAGCAAACGGG
rnacentral:rRNA from 1 species